CCUACGGGAGGCUGCAGUGAGGAAUAUUGGUCAAUGGGCGCUAGCCUGAACCAGCCAAGUAGCGUGAAGGAUGACUGCCCUAUGGGUUGUAAACUUCUUUUAUAUGGGAAUAAAGUGCAGUAUGUAUACUGCUUUGCAUGUACCUUAUGAAUAAGGAUCGGCUAACUCCGUGCCAGCAGCCGCGGUAAUACGGAGGAUUCGAGCGUUAUCCGGAUUUAUUGGGUUUAAAGGGAGCGUAGGCGGGUUGUUAAGUCAGUUGUGAAAGUUUGCGGCUCAACCGUGAAAUUGCAGUUGAUACUGGCAGCCUUGAGUACAGUAGAGGUAGGCGGAAUUCGUGGUGUAGCGGUGAAAUGCUUAGAUAUCACGAAGAACUCCGAUUGCGAAGGCAGCCUGCUGGACUGUAACUGACGCUGAUGCUCGAAAGUGUGGGUAUCAAACAGGAUUAGAUACCCCAGUAGUC
rnacentral:rRNA from 1 species